rnacentral:rRNA from 1 species
UAUUACCGCGGCUGCUGGCACGGAGUUAGCCGAUCCUUAUUCGUAAGGUACAUGCAAAAUAGUACACGUACUACACUUUAUUCCCCUACAAAAGAAGUUUACAACCCGUAGGGCCGUCUUCCUUCACGCGACGUGGCUGGUUCAGGCUUGCGCCCAUUGACCAAUAUUCCUCACUGCUGCCUCCCGUAGGA